rnacentral:rRNA from 1 species
GGGCCCGCACAAGCGGUGGAGUAUGUGGUUUAAUUCGAUGCAACGCGAAGAACCUUACCAGGGUUUGACAUCCUGCGAAUCUCUUGGAAACAGGAGAGUGCCUUCGGGAACGCAGUGACAGGUGGUGCAUGGCUGUCGUCAGCUCGUGUCGUGAGAUGUUGGGUUAAGUCCCGCAACGAGCGCAACCCACGUCUUUAGUUGCCAGCAUUUAGUUGGGCACUUUAAAAGAACUGCCAGUGAUAAGCUGGAGGAAGGUGGGGAUGACGUCAAGUCCUCAUGGCCCUUACGUGUAGGGCUACACACGUGCUACAAUGGCGCAUACAGAGUGCUGCGAGCCUGCGAGGGUGAGCGAAUCACUUAAAGUGCGUCGUAGUCCGGAUUGGAGUCUGCAACUCGACUCCAUGAAGUCGGAAUCGCUAGUAAUCG